rnacentral:lncRNA from 1 species
CCCAUCAUCAUCAUGCCAUGAUAGUCCUCAACAUAACCACCUAUAUUCACUGAUCCACCAUUAUCUUUCUCUCCAGAAAUACCACUUUUUUGCCCUUCUAAAUCCCUAAAUCUCUGCAAAUAUAUCUUGAGUGGCUCAAUGUAUUCUUCAAAACCAAGAGUUGUCAUUGCCCACAACAAAUCAUCACCAUUGAUUGUCUUCCUCUUUUCUCUUUGACACUUAUCUGAUGCUUCC